rnacentral:rRNA from 1 species
UGCGUAGGGUGCAAGCGUUAAUCGGAAUUACUGGGCGUAAAGCGUGCGCAGGCGGCGCCGCAAGUCAGGCGUGAAAUCCCCGAGCUUAACUUGGGAAUGGCGCUUGAAACUACGGUGCUGGAGUGUGGCAGAGGGAGGUGGAAUUCCACGUGUAGCAGUGAAAUGCGUAGAUAUGCGGAGGAACACCGAUGGCGAAGGCAAUCCCCUGGGCCUGCACUGACGCUCAUGCACGAAAGCGUGGGGAGCAAACAGG